AAACCAUACCACACCACACACACCACCAUGACAAAAUAGUCCCAAGGACGUAAACAUGUCAAAGCAAUAUUUGACCCUUCAUACAAUCGAUAAGGCGCACCCCCUUGAAAUCUUCUCCUUAGCCUUAACUUCGAGCCAACUGAUAUCCUGCUCAGGAGCAUCGUCGCUCAAAGUCCACUCAACCACAGAGCCAGAUUUCCCCUUAGUCCAAUCCAUCGACGGCGCGCACAAGAUCGGCUGCCACCACC
rnacentral:sRNA from 1 species